ACAAAUACAUAAAAGACAAGAGAAAAUGAAGGUUCUAAUGAGCAAACUAUUUUAUAAGCAAUCAGAAAGAAUAGUACAGGAAAUUCUUAGUAUCCUACUUGAAGAAAGCAUUGGAAAAUAUAAAGAGUAUGAGAAUGAGUACAAGGAAGCAUCUUUAAGUUGAACCAUUCUUGAUGUCAGGUUCCUUGCCUGUCUCAGGGAGAAAACACUUGCACACAACAAGGACAUGAUGUCCCUUUCUCCAUUUGACUUAAUCACCCAUAUUCUCUCAUACCCUUUCUGCCAAGAGCAAUUCUUCAUGUUCUUCUCUUCUUCUCUCCAAUUCCUGCAUAUAAAUGUCCAUGAGAUUAUGGUAUUUGAUGAGAGAAAAUUAGUUCACAGUUGUGAUACUCAACUCAAAAUCACAGUUCUGAAGCCUUUGCUCAAUUCUACCCCAAACUAUAUUUUACCUCGUACUGUUGUUUAACGUUAUAUAGAAAUUAUUCUUUAGUUCUAAUAUCUAAAAUUACAAGAACAAAAGGUAAUAUCAGGGUCUAAUGAACAGUUAGAUUUGACUAAAAAUACCAGCAAAUCCAAUAAGCCCUAAUUAUAAAUCUAAAAAUUUGAAAUCUAACUUUGGAACAAAUUAUAACACAACACUAACAACAAAAAAACACAAAAUAGACAAACAAUCACGCAGCAAAACUAGAGCAAAUACAAGAAUUUAAAAAAGAAAAAAAAAGAUGAUAAAUCGCAGCCAAGCUAAAAACAAGUAGCAGAGUCAAACUACGCAUGCGAUAAGAAGAAAAGAACUAAAAUUUUAAAAUUUAAAAUAGUACAGGGCCUAAAAUUAACUAAUUCGAAAAGUAUUGGUCAAAUUAAAAUAUAAGAACUAAAUGCAUAACUUUCGCAAAGUAUAGGAACUAAUAAUAGAAUUAACCCGAUAUCUUUCUGUUGAUUUGAAGUUUCUAUCUACCUUUACCAAUUCUCUGAAGCACAUACAAGAUGGAGAUUUCUAGAUUUAAUUUCGAGUCUUUUCGUGUUCGCGUUAAACUUUUUGGCUUACUGUUCCAAAAAUAGUAGCAGAAAAGUAUUCUAAAUCCACUAUGUUACUUGGCAAGUAAUAAAUUUCGGAUCAGUUAUUAUUUGAUAUAAUCUUCGAUUUGAAUAAAACUCGUAAAAUCGAUAAAAACAUUUAUAAUUAUAUAAAAAAGAAAGUAAUGUGUUCAAUACUUAAUAUUUAUAAUUAAAUCUAUAUUGUAAGUAAUUAACACUCAAACAUGAAUAAUAAUUAAUCAUCCGUAUUUAAUUUGAUCCAACCUCUGCGAGGCAACUCCAUUUAACCAAAGUAUUACAACUGCUUCUUGACAUCACACUGCUAGUGGUCCAAGCUUUUACUCUGCUUGGCUUUAAGAUGGGAAAGCAGUGGAGUUGGAACAUGGGCAUCCAUUUAUUUUAAUGGGAGUUGAACCAAUGGACAGAAUUCAUGCAUACUUUGCAGUCUCAGUUCUAAUCCAAAUUACUUGAUUUGGAAAGACUCUACCAGUGGGGAUAUAAACUACUGCUGAUAGCAUACUCAAUUAAGGCACCCAUGGUUUGCCGAUGCAACUAGGGACAACAAGCAAAGUUUGCAUUUCAAUCACUCUUUAAUGCUUAAAUUAAUAGUUUUUGUUUAAGAAAAUGAAUAAAGAUAGAAGAUCAUGACUAAUUAACAGAAUCAAAAGGAAUCCUUAGAGACCUUUUAAUGUUUAUCUCCUCAAUGAAGAUCAUGAGUAUUUUUUAAAGUUAUGCAUUUAGUUCUUAUACUUUAAUUUGACCAAUACUUUUCGAAUUAGUUAAUUUUAGGCCCUUUCAAAAAAAAUAUCGAUAUCCAAUGCUAUUAAGUGCACAAGUUAAAUAAAGAUAUCAGGACAGACAAACUAAAAUAUAUAAAUUACAUUAUGCAAGUAGAUUAUGAAAGAGUAAGACAAACCUUUAUUUGCUUUACGUAUGGAACAGGAACAAUGAACUCCCCAACAUCCAUAUCAAGUGUAAAAGAGAAGCUUAACAUACCUGAAAUAGAAGAAGAAAACUGUGAAAAAUCAGUGCAUUAACAAGUGUAUUUUGUAGCACCCCAAACCCGGCCCAGAAGUUAUGGCCGAAUCCGACAUGCCACAUCAAAAACGUAAAAAAAAAUUUCCAUUCUAAGUCCAGAAAAUCGUACUUGAUGUUCAAAAGAUUAAUUCAUUAAAGGUUAAAGUGAAUGGAAGCUGUGCACCAGGUAGGAAACCGGAAAAGAGGUGGUGAGUCCAUCGGACUGCUUAAGUACCAAGCUCCCUUCGAAUCCAAUCCUAGACAUGCAUACCGCCAUUGCCACACUUUAACGUCAUGGAUAUUUCUAGGAAAUCGAUUUGAUUAAGUCAUUUUUAGGAAAAGUGAUUAAUUUUGGAAAAUACUUUCAUUGCGGAAGCUUUGCUUGUUGUCGUGUUAUUUUGAAAUCAACUGUUGUUUUUGAAAACGCGCCCUAAAGCUAUCCAAUUUCAACAGUUAAAAUAAGUAUUACCUAUCUUAGUAAUACAUAUAAAAAAAACCAUCAAAAAUAAAUAAGCGGCCUUAUUACAUUUAAAAACCCAAAACUUCAAACGUAAAUAAAAGGAUGCCCAGUUCACCAGAAGAAAAUCAAACUUUCAGAACAGGUGGCCACUCCGAAUUCCCUCACAGCUCCAAGCCCACUAUGGUUGGGGAUUACCUGCGUGGAUGAAAAUAAAAGGGGUGAGUUUGGGGAAACUCAGUGUGUAAAUUAACCCAACCAUAGCCUAUAUCAGCUUAAACCAUAGAAAUAGAAUAAGUUGGCCUUAGCCCAGAACAGAAUUCAAAAUAAAGCCCAUAGGCCCAUAACAGAACAGAUAUUACAUGUUUAUGCGAAAACCCAACCAUAUCCAACCGUAUACACCCCCGUACCAACCUUACACCGUGUGGGGAGACAACUCGACCCACCCAACCGCUACACACCAUAGAAUUUGCAGCAUGGCUGCCAGAACAGAUAAUGUGACAGAGUCACCAGAUACAGAUAAUCGUGGCAGAGCCACCAAAACAGAUAUAUGUGGCAAAGCCACCAGAUCAGAUAUUUGUGGCAUAGCCACCAGAACGCUUCCUCCAUAAUAUAACCCAUGUCCCCAUGCAACAGAUAUAUAAUCAUGGCAUACAUCAUACAGAAUUAGAUCGUCAUGCUUUUCAGUCAAAAUUAACCCUAGGGGUAUAACGGUAAUUUUGCAUCUAGGGGUAUAAUAGUAAUUUUCCAUACAUAGGGGUAUUAUAGUAAUUUAGAUACUUUUAGGGUUUUCAUGCAUAUCCUAACUAUUUACGUACUAUCAAAACACUUACCGCACAUACUUACUGAAUUGGGCCCGUUGGCCUAUGAACCCAAUCUUUGGCCCAUUAAGCCCAAAUUAUCAAAAUGUACGAAAUCGCGUGUACUGCAGUUUAUUACUUUAGAUUACCAAAUAUACAAACCCAACUAUCUUACGAGCAUUCGCACACUCGCAAAUUCCUAAAAUACUGACUUUUCGGCAUUUCGGCUUUUGCCAAUCUAGUUUAUGAGAGGGUGUCAGUUACACACCUGUUUGCGACGAUAUGCUGACGAGAUCCACACACGAACCGCCUACAAUUGGAUUACUAACACGUUAAUCUAACUAUUCAAAUACAAACUACGUAUUAACCCCUUAUAAUAUUCGGCCAACCACACCUACAGAUCAUAGUAAGCUUAUAAGAAAUCAAUAAGCAACUCAUUAACAAAUUUUUGUCAAUGUUUACCACAUAAUCAUAAUUUCACUGCAAGCUGUCUUCCUAAAUAACAGUCACUAAAUUAUUUAUAACUGGAGCUACGAAACUCCAAAUCAAGUGCCAUUAAUUUUCCCUGAAAAUAGACUCAUAUAUCUUUUAUCCAUAAAAUUUUCAGAAUUUUUGGUAUGGCCAAUCAAUACCAGAUUUUUCUCAAAGUUUCCCAUGUUUCACUGUUUGACUAAUCUGACCACUCUUCAUUACGAAUCAAAUUUCUCAUUCUACAGAAUUCAAAAUAUGUUCUAGUUUAUUUUAUUAGAAACUAGACUCAAUAAGCUUUAAUUACAUAAUUUAUUCAGCUUCUAAUUUAUCUCCCACAAUUUAUGGUGAUUUUCCAAAGUCACGUUACUGCUGCUGUCCCAAGCAGAUUUAUUACCAAAUCACUCUUUCACACAUACCUUGCAUGCAUGUUAUUUAAACAUGUAUAUCACCAAUCAAUCAUCACAUAUCUAUGAUUUUACUUAAGAAUAAUCUCCAUUUCAUCAUUUUAAAGCACAACAUGUUAGCCGAUUUUUCCCCUUAGCAUCUAAGGCACAUGCAUGCUCAUUUGUUUGGCUCAACUUCACCUAUCUUUCAUUUUUCAUCAAAAGAACAUGAAACAAUAACCAUUUCCUUCAUUUUAAUUCAUGACUAAAUGCUUACAACACAACUAAAAAUCAAAAUAUACUUCAAGAGUUAAGGUAGAAUUAAGAAGAACUCAUGAACCUCAAAAUAGAAGCAAGGUACCAAGAACUUACCUUCAAUUUUCCUCCUCCUAAUGACCGAAUACUCAAGAGCUUUCUCCUCUCCUUUCUCUUCUCUAACUUUCAACUAUGAUGAACAAAGAUGGACAAAACUUUGUUCUUUUCACCCCUUUUUCUUUUAAUAAAACUUCAUAUUUCAUCCAUUUAAUUCUUUAAUACAAAAGAC
rnacentral:lncRNA from 1 species